GUGGCUCAUCUAAACCAAGCGACGGUCAUACAAAAAAACUACAUCGAUUCCUCCGACAGUCUCGUUCUUCAUUCAGCACUCCACUGCACACCGCUUCUUCUCCAUAGUUGUGGCCGUGACCCCUCUCUCCACUCCAUGGUGGUUGCUCCUCCUCCUCCUUGGCGGCUCGAGCAAGCCCCUCCCCCUCCAUGGAUGUAGCCACCUCUCCUCCAUGUGCAUCUUCAUUCAAGUCUGGUAGCCUCCAUGGCGCCCCCACUCUAUGGCGGCGGCGGCUUCGAUAAAAUAGGGACACGGCAGUGGCUAGGGUUUCAACGAGCUCUGGUCCUAUUCCCUUCUCCCUCUGGCGAGCUCGAAGAUAUCCAGGAAUUACUGUGCCAUCCAAGCUAGAAAGGUCAGUAGAGACGACGCCGGCCCUAGUCACGCCCAUGCCGAGGCGACCGGCGGUUUGGAAGCACCAGUCGUCCAGUCCGCCCUGUGCAGGCCACUUGUGUGCCACUGAGAGGGAAAAUGACCAAAUCAUCUUCCAUCCCAUGGAUGCUGCCGCUGUUGCUUGGACGGUUGGUUCUUGUCCGCAUGCUCUGCCUAAGAUAUAUUUGAGGCAAUUUCUCCCCUUAUAUAUGAAUUUGCAUAGCACAGGCGGCUAUUGAUUUGACCAUUCUUCUUUGAUAUGUUUUUUUUCUCUCUCUAGUUUUAGUUGUUCAUUAACGUCAUUAGUCUAUAGUAAAACAAAGAUCUUUCCAUGGAAUUUCAACUGUGUCCACACAACCGUGCAUCUCCAACAAAGGAACUGAACCUCGUUGUCAAGAUAGUGCAUGCCAAUCUCGGCUACAUAUACACUAGUAACUUUCUGAACCCACGACGAAAUCAAGGACUGGGAUUGUUUCUCAAGCCAGUGAUCACCUGAAUAUCGUCCGAUUCCAUGUUCCCACAACACCUGUAAUUCUUGACGUUAGUAAAUUGCAUGCUCACUUUUUUUCAUUAUAUUUUCCUAUCUUCUUUAAAUUAAUUUGAUUUGUUAAUACAUACCUCCUUAUUAUUUGGGUCCUCAUACUCGUAAUUACAUAUAAUUUCAUA